UAGCAGCGCAUCAUGGUUUGA
rnacentral:miRNA from 6 species